UACGUAGGGUGCGAGCGUUGUCCGGAUUUAUUGGGCGUAAAGAGCUCGUAGGCGGCUUGUUGCGUCGACUGUGAAAACCCGCGGCUCAACCGUGUGGUCUGCAGUCGAUACGGGCAGGCUGGAGUUCGGUAGGGGAGACUGGAAUUCCUGGUGUAGCGGUGAAAUGCGCAGAUAUCAGGAGGAACACCGGUGGCGAAGGCGGCUUCCUGGACCGACACUGACGCUGAGGCGCGAAAGCUAGGGGAGCAAACGGG
rnacentral:rRNA from 1 species